GUGUCAGCAGCCGCGGUAAGACAGAGGGUGCAAACGUUGCCCGGAAUCACUGGGCGUAAAGCGCGUGUAGGCGGACAAUCAAGUCAGGUGUGAAAUCCCCGGGCUCAACCUGGGAACUGCAUCUGAAACUGGUUGUCUUGAGUAUCGGAGAGGGAAGCGGAAUUCCUGGUGUAGAGGUGAAAUUCGUAGAUAUCAGGAGGAACACCGGUGGCGAAGGCGGCUUCCUGGACGAUUACUGACGCUGAGACGCGAAAGUGUGGGUAGCAAACAGGAUUAGAUACCCUCGUAGUCC
rnacentral:rRNA from 1 species